rnacentral:rRNA from 1 species
CCUACGGGAGGCAGCAGUGAGGAAUAUUGGUCAAUGGCCGGAAGGCUGAACCAGCCAAGCCGCGUGAAGGACGAAGGUGCCAAGCAUUGUAAACUUCUUUUGUCAAGGGACAAAAUCAGGCUCGAGAGCCUGACCGAGGGUACUUGAAGAAAAAGCAUAGGCUAACUUCGUGCCAGCAGCCGCGGUAAUACGGGGGAUGCGAGCGAUAUCCGGAUUUAUUGGGUUUAAAGGGUGCGUAGGCGGACAGUUAAGUCAGCGGUAAAAGUCCGGGGCUCAACCCCGGCGAGCCGUUGAAACGGGCUGUCUUGAGAUGUCGAGAGGUAUGCGGAAUGCGCAGUGUAGCGGUGAAAUGCUUAGAUAUUGCGCAGAACUCCGAUGGCGAAGGCAGCAUACCGGCGGCGAUCUGACGCUGAGGCACGAAAGCGUGGGUAUCGAACAGGAUUAGAUACCGAGUAGUC